GACUCUUCACACCAGGGUGGGAGGACCCGAAGAGUGAAGGAGAUGGAAUUUGAAACUCCCUGUCUAAAGAAAGAAAGUGGAACUUGUGGAAUAGUAAACAAAAUCCUUGCAGGUGCUCCCGUUUUCAUUUCCUUUGCAUAUCCUGUCUCAGUCAUCUUCCUGCACCCUUGCAGAUGUUGCCAUUCCCAGGAAAAUCAGGGGCAGAGAGCAGCGUGGGUGGGAACUGGAAAGUCCCUGCUGUGGAGGGUCUUGGGUGGAUGCACCGGCUCCUGCUCCCCCAUCUGCUGCUCACGGAAGGAGACGCCUACCGGAAGCAGAAGGAGGGGCUGGGGGUCUGGAAGGCUGAGCUUGAGUCGCAGGAACACUAGGGAUGCUAAGACCUCUCGGGAGGUCUUGGUGGCUGGUGUCUCUGAGGGCCAUCAGCUGGUGUCUCUUUGGCCGAAGCAGCCCAGGCAGGGAUUGGGAAAGGUUAGGAGCGUGGACUCCAGAACCAGCCUGCCGAGGGCGAAACUCCAGUGCUGCCACUUACCCUUCAAAGCUACAGGACCCAGAGAUGGGGGUGUCUCACUAUGUUGCUCAGGCUGGUCUCGAACUCCUGGGCUCAAGUGAUCCUCCUGCUUUAGCCUCCCAAAGUGCUGGGAUUACAGGCAUGAGCCACCGCACCGAGCCCAUGAGGCUCGCUGCAGCCUCUCUUUUGAAGAGGGAAAAAACAAAGUUCCAGCUCUCCAGGAAGAAAAAGGACCUCAUGCCACCUUAAGAAAAGGAAUUUAAAUGACGUGGUUGUGCCUCCAUGGGCAGUGGACAGCUGAGCUUCUCCAGGGCUGGAACCCAGCAGGCAGAAAUGGAGGCUCCUGGGGCUGUGUGGUUCCCCAUCUCUGGUCUCUGCAUCUCUCUCUGAAUCUUCUUCUUUUGUAUAUUGAUGGAGGAACUGCUGUAUCCCAGGUAUGGAGCCAAGUGCUGGGAAGAGAGAGUGAAUAAUAAAGUCUCUGCCCUGAAGGGACUGACAAGCCAAUGAGCAAGACAGACAGUAUGGAGAAUCACAUAAAAAUCAUCCGUGUUGCAGCAUGGGAGGCAGUUUUGGGUGAAUCCUGUGACAUGCUUCUAGAGACCUAUCUCUACGCCUGUGAUGAUGAUUAAUAGGAGGAAUUGGGACUACGGGUCUCUCUCCAUCAUCCAGGCUGGAAUGCAGUGGUGCAAUCACAGCUCAUUGCAGCCUCGACCUUCUGAAUUCAAGUGAUCCUCCCACUUCAUCCUCCUGAGUAGCUGAGAUUACAGGCAUGCACCACCAUGCCUGGCUAAUUUUUUAAAUUUUUUUUGCAGAGAUGGAGUCUCACUGCGUUGCCCAGGCUCAGGUCAUCCUUUUAUACCUGGCUGUAUUACAGGUUGAUAGCCAGUCUAUGAGUCAAGUCCCAUGGUCCAAAAUGGAAGCUAAGGGAUUGGGUGGGAACAUGAAGGGAGCUGUGGAUGAAACCAAUUCCUUUGCAAUGAAGUUUAAGUAUGGCAAGACAUCAUCUGUUCAUCUGGGAGAGGGAUUGAGCAGGAGUGUGGGAAAACCAGUUGCCCUCUUGCCUCUAUUGCAAAUAAACGCUUUUGUCUUUC